UACGUAGGGGGCGAGCGUUGUCCGGAUUCAUUGGGCGUAAAGCGCGCGUAGGCGGCUCGGAAAGUCGGUCGUGAAAUGCCGGGGCUCAACCCCGGGACUGCGUCCGAUACUUCCGGGGCUGGAGGUAGGUAGGGGAGAUCGGAAUUCCUGGUGUAGCGGUGAAAUGCGCAGAUAUCAGGAGGAACACCGGUGGCGAAGGCGGAUCUCUGGGCCUUACCUGACGCUGAGGCGCGAAAGCGUGGGGAGCAAACAGG
rnacentral:rRNA from 1 species